CCCCAAGCUGGAUGUUGACGUCGGUCUUACCUGAUGUUCCAGAACCGCAUCAUGGUUGUGAUGUUGUCGUUCAUUGUUGUUGUAUCUUGUCUCAGCUCUUCUACUGCAGCGGCAUGGUCCUGGUUCCAUUUUUGUUGCUCUUCCAGGAGUCUUCCAUGUUCUGCUUGCGUGUUCUGGAUGUCGAGGAGGGUGUUGUCGGUACGAGUGAAGAAAGCACCGGCCUCUUGAUAGUAGUCAUUUGUGAAGGCGUAGGAGGCGUCGGAGUAUCGUCCUGCAUCAAAUUGGGG
rnacentral:lncRNA from 1 species